AUGUCGGCGGCGGUCGAGGAGCAGAUGGUAGUGAAAGCGAUCCGGGAGGAGUGCCCGUGGGAGUCCCUUCCCAAGCGUCUCCAGUCCACUCUCCACACCAAGGACGAGUGGCACCGCAGGAUUGUGGAUUAUUGCAUCCGAAAACGAUUACAAUGGAAUACCUGCUUUGCCCGUCGAGUUUACAGGGAAGGGGAAUACUAUGAAGAAAUGAUGCGCUAUCUCCGGCGCAAUCUUGCAUUAUACCCAUACCAUCUUGCAGACUAUAUGUGCCGAGUAUUGAGGAUCUCACCAUUCAGAUAUUACUGUGACAUCCUGUUCGAAACUAUGAAGAACGAACAACCAUAUGAUAGUAUUCCAAACUUCACUGCUGCUGAUGCCCUAAGGCUGACUGGUAUUGGCAGAAAUGAAUUUAUUGAUAUUAUGAACAAAUGCAGAUCAAAGAAACUAAUGUGGAAGCUGAACAAAUCAAUCGCAAAAGAUUUACUGCCUACACAGCCUGUUGACUUCCCAAUCGAGCCUUGGUGGGGAGUUUGUCUGGUUAACUUUACAUUGGAAGAGUUCAAGAAACUUUCAGAAGAAGAAACAGCAACCAUAGACAAAAUCUGCAAAGAGGAAGCCAAUUCAUACGUUCUUUUUGAUAUGAAGAUUAUAGAUGACCUCUAUAAAAGAGGGUUAGUGUACUUUGAUGUGCCUGUUUACACUGAUGACCGCUUCAAAGUUUCUAGGCUUGAAGGCUUUGUUUCUAACAAGGAUCAAUCCUAUGAAGACCCAAUCGAAGAGCUACUUUAUGCUGUAUUUGUUGUGUCAAGUGCUAAUGCUACUGUUGCUGAACUGGCUGCAACUUUACAAGCUGACCUUUAUCAGCUGCAGGCAGCGGCAUCAUUUGCUUGCCGAUUGGGCUGGGCUGUAAAACUUGUGGAUGGUGACUCUGUAUUUAAAGACGAAGGUCUAAAAUCUCAUGCUGUCACGCUGUAUGAAGCUGGAAAAUUAGGUGAUUCUUGCAUUGCGGAACUAUGCAGUGAUCUGGCUAGUUUAGAAGGAAAGAAAUUUGAGGGUGUGCUAGAGGAGUUUGCUAAUCAUGCAUUCAGUCUGCGGUGGUCCCUCGAGUGUUUAAAGUCCGGUGGAGUUUCUACCGAUGAUAGUACUGAUAAAGAUGGUGAAACAAUGACUCCAACAAAUUUAUUGCAUGAAAAUGUUACAGCCCAUCUGGCCAAUGCAAACAUCGAGGAAAGAGCUGAGGAUGGCCUUGAUAAAGUGCCCCAGGAUAACUGCUCUACUGGUGUUUUAGAUAAUAAAGAUGAGAAUAUAUCAUCAGUGUCAAUGGGUUUACCAGAACGUGGGGAAAACAUGGUUAGAAUUGAGGCUCAGAAUGACUCAACUGGCACCAAUGUGUUGAUGAUAAAAAGGAAGUACAGUGUUGAUGUCCUCCGAUGUGAGAGCCUUGCUUCACUUGCUCCAGCAACACUAGAACGGCUAUUUCUCCGUGACUAUGACAUUAUUGUGUCAAUGGUUCCUCUUCCUUCUUCAUCAGUUCUUCCUGGUCCUUCAGGCACGAUUCAUUUUGGUCCACCCUCUUAUUCUGCGAUGACACCUUGGAUGAAGCUAGUAUUGUAUACUGCAGGCCAUUCUGGACCACUAUCUGCUGUUUUCUUGAAAGGACAACGCUUCAGAUUGCUUCCUGAACCAUUAGCUGGUUGUGAAAAAGCACUGAUAUGGUCUUGGGAUGGCUCUAUGGUUGGUGGACUAGGAGGGAAGUUUGAAGGGAAUUUGGUCAAGGGCAAUCUACUCUUACAUUGCUUGAACUCGAUGUUGAAGCAAUCUGCCGUGUUAGUGCAACCGCUUAGAAUAGAUGAUCUUAGCGCAUCAGGAAACCUUGUCACAGUAGAUAUCCCUUUACCCCUGAAGAAUGAUGAUCAUUCAAUUGCAUCUGUGGUAGCUCAAGCGAAUUUGCCAAAGGAACAGGUCUUUAAUUUGACCUCAGUACUGAAAGACCUAUCCAGUAAAUUUCAGUUGACCACACUUGGCUACCUUCGUCUAUUAAGACUUAACAAUCUUGUCGAAUCGGAUAAGUUUCACCCAGAAAAUGCAAGUUACCAGUGGGUGCCCUUGAGUUUGGAGUUUGGAAUUCCCUUGUUCAAUCCAAACUUAUGUGAGAGGAUUUGUGAAAGGGUGGUUGCGUCUCGUAUACUUCAGAAAGAUGAUCUCACUGAACAUUAUGAUGUGAUGCAAAAUGUAAGGAGGCGUCUCAGAGAACUUUGUAGUGAAUAUCAAGCAACUGGACCAGUAGCUAAGUUAUAUAACAAGAGGGGAAACUCAAAGGAUCUACCUCGCACUUUAAUCAAUAGUAUUAGUAGCAGAUGGGAUCCAGCAAAUGAUCCUUCAGCACCAACCAACACAAGAACCCCAAGUGAACACGAGAGGCUAAAACUUGCUGUCCGACAGAGAUGCGGCACAGAAGUUGUGGGCUUUGAUGGGAGGACUGUCAGGUCAUAUUCACUCUCUCCGGAGCAGGACGAGGCUACCACCAAACACAUCUCUGACGAACAGUCAUCCACCCAUGAAGGAAAGCCAGAUCAAGAAGAUGCACACAGCAAGGAUGUAACCUUGCCAGGACUAAACCUUAUCUUUGACGGAGUUGAAUUACACCCCUUCGAUAUUGGUGCUUGUCUUCAAGCACGCCAACCUCUCUGGUUGAUAGCUGAGGCAUCAACAGUUUCAUCAACCCUCAUAUGA
rnacentral:rRNA from 1 species